rnacentral:tRNA from 1 species
CAUUAAAAAGCUUAAAGUAAGUGUUGAUCUUUUAAAUCAAUCAUGAUAAGAUCGCCUAUCUUUAAUGA